UAUGGAGGUGUGAGUGACUGCUCUUAUCAGUUCAGGGAAUGGCUGAGUUCUCUCAGUGAAACAUCACUUUAACUUUAUCACAACUUCUAUUUUAUGAAUUAUGAGUAAAUAAAAACAUAUGAUGUGAGCCAAUCGUGGCCGCGCACACGGGAGCGAGGAGUGACAUCCAACCGAGGCUUGUUGACAUUACUGCUCCUGAAUGCAACGUGUCACUACAGUGCAGGCCACCAGUCGUCGCAGGGCCGUGGGCGUGGCCGACUUCACGUCAGCGCGGUAUUUUCUGAUCAGGCAGCGAGCGCGGGCGCUGCCCACCAACACCUGGUCCACACAGAGCCACAAACAGACAGAUGAACGGCUGGUAACAUAAAUCAGGAGGAAGUGGACGCUGGAUAAACUCUGACACUGAAGACAAAAAAAUAAUCUCAUUACAAGGUCCAUUAGUAGCUGUUCUGGAGCUUUCAAUCAUUUUACAUGGUUUUCUGCAAUACUGUGUCCUCAUCUGCCAUUUCCAAGAUCGAGAAUGAACUUUGAGACUCAGCUUUCACACAACCAUGAACGAGACGUCCUUCAAGUGCUCAGAAGAAAUGACGACACGUAACAUUUCCUCUAUUGAUUCACAGCUGCAUGUCAGUGUUUACAGUCAGGAACACAGACACAUGUACGUCUUUAGAUACACUCAGUUUUAUCUGUCCUGUUGUUUUUAUCUUUAUUCUGUUGAGACAUCCAAUACACAUCACAUCUACUGCAAUGUUUAUCUGUAGUUCAGCACAUGUGUCUGUAUGAUGUCUGUUAAAUAAACAGGUAAACAAAUAAAUGAAAAAUAACCUCCGGAUCAGCCACUAAA